rnacentral:rRNA from 1 species
UAUCUCUGUAGAGUCUGCAUAUCAAUAAGCGGAGGAAAAGAAACUAACAAGGAUUCCCUUAGUAACGGCGAGUGAAGCGGGAAGAGCUCAAAUUUGAAAUCUUCAAGGUUCUACCUUGACGAAUUGUAGUUUAAAGAAGUGUUUUCUGUUAGAUGAGUAGCAAAAGUUCCUUGGAAUGGGACAUCAUAGAGGGUGAGAAUCCCGUAUUUGGUUAUUCAUUCUAGCUUUGUGAUACACUUUCAAAGAGUCGGAUUGUUUGGGAAUGCAGUCCAAAAUGGGUGGUAAAUUUCAUCUAAAGCUAAAUAUUGGCGAGAGACCGAUAGCGAACAAGUACCGUGAGGGAAAGAUGAAAAGAACUUUGAAAAGAGAGUUAAACAGUACGUGAAAUUGUCAAAAGGGAAGCGUUUGACACCAGUGUUGUUUUUCCGAAAAUCAAUUACGAAUGGCUUGAUUCUGUGUUGUAUUGACCUUAUCAGCUUUCUUCACUUUUUUCGAGUCUUUCUUAAUGCACUUUUCGGUUAACAAGUCAACAUCAAUUUCUUUUGUUGUAAAAGAGUAUUCGGAAGGUGGCUUUCUUUUCGGAGAAAGUGUUUAUAGCCCUAUACUUCUACAAUCGGAGAGAUUGAGGUCUGCAGCGUAGAUCCUUCGGGGUUAGAUACACUUGUGCUAAGUUGUAGCUUUUCAUAGACAACUUGUUGACUAUGUUUAGUCAUGCGGCUUACUCGCUUAUGCUAUUUUACCUACGCUUAGGAUGUUGACUGAUAUGUAGUCGUA